CGUGGAGCCUGCUUCUCCCUCUGCCUGUGUCUCUGCCUCUCUCUCUCUGUGUCUCUCAUGAAUAAAUAAAAUCUUAAAAAAAAAAAAACUUAAAAAAAAUAAUAAAAACCAUUCAAGUGUACAUUUUAAGUAGGUGACUUGCCUGGUCUGUAAAUUAUAUCUCAACAAAAUCAUACACACACUCACACACAUGCACACACACACACAACUUGAAAAAUAACAUUACCUGAGAUUUGAAACAAAAACAAAAUUAAGAGAAAAAUUUAGGGUUAAACCCAACAUAUGUGCUUUAAUUCAUUCUGGAGAAAGCACUGAAAUGUCUGAAAGCUAGGAAAAUUGAAUUAGGGAAAAAUAGAAAAAUAUACUCAGGAAAACCCAACUGGAGGUCAGAUCAAGUUAAGCCGAACACAAUAAGGCACUGAUCUUGUUUAUAGGGGUAAGAGAACUGGGGUGUGACUUCUUCCAUGUUCUGAAUGUUUCUUGUUAGGAAGGAAGGAGAAGCCACACAGACCAGUCAUACCUCCCUUCCCUGGAAGUGAUCUCAUCUCUAAUAAGCAGUGUCAGCUGAAGGGAAGAGCAGGAGUUUGGAUUAGCCCAGCUGCCAACCAGCCUUCAGGAAAGAGCCCGUGCAUCCUCUUCUACCCUACGUGUUCUGAACUUAUCCCAGAUAAGAAAGUCAGAGGAUCUCCAAGAACAACAAAGGCCUAGAACUGGUGGCUCUGGGUUCACAAAUAGACAACUGUGAUUUGCAUCCUUAACAUUCAUUCUCCCUUCUUCUGCCAAAAGUCCCAACUUUUUGUCAGAGGACCCACCUCUCCUUCAAUCAAAGCAUUCUAUUCUCUGGCCACAAUGAGCAUAUGAUACAAUGGCAAUGAAAUGAAAUGGGACUUUUGCUGAGACUUCUGGGAAAGUGACCUGAUGUCUUUUCUCCCCAAGGUUGAAGGGGGGAAGAAGUGAGGCCUGGAGCUUUGUAGUCAUGACAACCCCAAAGGGAAAGCCCCUGAGAAUGGAGCCUGAUGAAGGCAAGCAGAGCCAGGGUGUGCACAGAGAGAAUGGGAGUGUGAUGACAGCAAUGUGGUAAAAGUAGUCCCUGGAGACUGGGACUGUUGUAUCAGUAAUAAAUUAUUUUUGCUUACACCCUUUAGGGUCGGA
rnacentral:lncRNA from 12 species